rnacentral:rRNA from 1 species
GACGAACGCUGGCGGCGUGCUUAACACAUGCAAGUCGAACGGUAAGGCCCUUCGGGGUACACGAGUGGCGAACGGGUGAGUAACACGUGGGUGAUCUGCCCUGCACUUCGGGAUAAGCCUGGGAAACUGGGUCUAAUACCGGAUAGGACCACUGCCGGCAUGGGUGGUGGUGGAAAGCUUUUGCGGUGUGGGAUGGGCCCGCGGCCUAUCAGCUUGUUGGUGGGGUGAUGGCCUACCAAGGCGACGACGGGUAGCCGGCCUGGGCGGGUGACCGGCCACGCUGGGACUGCGAUACGGCCCAGACUCCUACGGGAGGCAGCAGUGGGGAAUAUUGCACAAUGGGCGCAAGCCUGAUGCAGCGACGCCGCGUGAGGGAUGACGGCCUUCGGGUUGUAAACCUCUUUCAGCAGGGACGAAGCGAAAGUGACGGUACCUGCAAAAGAAGCACCGGCUAACUACGUGCCAGCCGCCGCGGUAA